rnacentral:piRNA from 1 species
CAGACAGGGAACUGGUAGCUUGAGAUGCU